GCGACAUAGCUCAGGAGCUUAACCAGAACCUUCCACGGUAUGCUGGGCUAGUAAGAUGCCAGAAGAGCUAUGAGGAAUGGCAGAAAACUCCCGGACAAUACGCUGUCAUAGGAGGAAACCCACAGAUCAACGAUGAUGACUAUAAGAAUAUGAUCGCUGAGAUGAAAGCCUACGAGUAUUCUCCUGGAACAACAGAAUAUGAGAUUGCUGUAAAAUACCACCUUGGAUAUGUUGGAACAUAUGAAGAUCUAAAGAAUACAAUUGAAUCUGGAAGGAAAAUCGUGGAGAAGGAUCAUUUCAUUCCAAAUGGCACACUUGCUAUAGCUCGAACAAAAAAAGAAGCUCUAAAGAAACUUAAGAAUUCAGAGCGAACAGAGCAUUCAAAGCUUUAUACGCUGGUGACAAAAGAGGACAAAAAUGGAAAUCUUCACCUGGCCAUGCAGGUUCUUUACCAGGAUCACCGUAUUGCCUUGACAACUGCAAACAGCAGGGGCGCCCCAGAAUGCAGGGCACUGCUGGCUGAUACGCUACUGCGUGGGGAUGGUGAGACCCUGCUGAAACAGGCCAUGAUCAUGGCCAACCCAAUAUCUUCCCAGAAGCUCAAAAGACAAGCAGGUAUACAGAUUCGUUCAUUCCAGGGAGAAUUAAGAAGUCUUACAGAAGAAGGGACAAAUUGCUACUACAAAACCGGUUACAUGAAGUUAAUCAGCGAGUAUCAGAAGAUGGGCAUCAUCGACCAAAACGCAGAGGGUAGACUGAAGACGUGGGUGAAAGAAAAUCAGCACCUCAGCAAAAAUACACCUGAGUAUAACCAGAUACUUCAGCGCCUCAAAUCUUUGGGCACCUAGAGCAUGAGCUCUGUAGUUGCUGGUAAUAAGGGUAAAGACGGAGUGUAGCACAGUGGGUAAGGCACUGAGCUUGUAACCAAAAGGUCGCAGGUUUGAUUCCCGGGUAGGACACUGCCGUUGUACCCUUGAGCAAGGUAUUUAACCAAAAUUGCUUCAGUAUAUAUAUGCAGCUGUAUAAAUGGAUACAAUGUAAAAAUGCUGUGUAAAAGUUGUGUAAGUCGCUCUGGAUAAUGUAAUGUAAUGUAAGGACUUUACAGGGCCCAGAGUCUAGGGAGAGGCCCUAAAAAACAUGUAUUUAGCAGGCUUUGUUGUGGAGUUGGGGCCAGAAUUUCCUGCAACGCCCUGACACAGAGAUGUAAUAGGAAAUGAGAAAUUAGAGAUGGACAGACCAAAAAAUAGAAUGGAAAAAGUGAUUUUUUUACUAUCAAUUGUACACUGUAGAACUACUUUGUGAGUGUGUCCAUCUCAGGCAUAUGCUAUAAUAAAUUAAUUAAUAAUAAUAAUGAAUUAAUUCUGCUGACUUCAGGAAUAGAGAGUGAAAAUGGGUUUUCUUCCACACGCAUCACUACUGUGGCCUGCUGUUUGGUGAGAAAGGUCCAAUGCGUUGGCUACUGAUGGGUUUCACUCAGCCACCAAAAUGUGUCCGCUUCAUCCUAAUGCUUUCUCGGGUCAAUCUGUUCAUAGAUUGGCCACAGGUGCUGCUGUCUGUUCAGGUAAUAGCCACUGCAGUGCUUUCGCAACAUAAACCAAAUAUGGUGAAAGAGAAGAUGGAGAAAAUAAUCAAACCUAUAAUUUCCCGAUCAUGUUUGCAUGAGGGCAAAAUGGUCAAAAAAAGAAAAGAAAAUGAACUUCUAAGAAAAGCCUUGAUGAGCAGCAUUAUUUUUCGGUCAGUUGUCAUUUUUACCUGUGACUUUGGUUUGUGAAAGAUGAUUCCGUGCCCUGUGAUCUUCGACUUUUGUGGAAUGUUCUUUAUUUAACUUGAUGUCAACUUACCACAGAGCCAACCAGGCUAUAGUAAACAAAUAUAUUUAUGCAUGAAAAAAACAAGUCACUGGUGUAAAUUAAGGCAAUGCCUUUUUUGUCUUUGAGUGAACAUUGAACACUGUAGAACUACUUUGUGAGUGUGUCCAUCUCAGGCAUAUGCUGUAAUAAGCUUUGAUUCUGCUGACCUCAGGAA